rnacentral:rRNA from 1 species
UAAAGCUAGCCCAAACAUCUACAAACACAACUAACACCAGAAAAUAAAACAAAACAUUUAGUCACCUUAUAAAAGUAUAGGAGAUAGAAAUUUAACUUGGCGCUAUAGAGAAAGUACCGCAAGGGAAAGAUGAAAGAUAAAAUUAAAAGCACCACACAGCAAAGAUUACCCCUUGUACUUUUGCAAAUGGGUAGCUAGACCACCNUACCAAGAGACUUCAGCUGGNCCCCCGAAACCAGACGAGCUACCCAUGACCAUCUAUUACAGGAUGAACUCGUCUAUGUUGCAAAAUAGUGAGAAGAUUUGUGGGUAGAGGUGAAAAGCCUAACGAGCCUGGUGAUAGCUGGUUGCCCAGAACAGAAUCUUAGUUCAACUUUAAACUUACCUCAAAAACCUAAAAUUCCAAUGUAAGUUUAAAAUAUAGUCUAAAAAGGUACAGCUUUUUAGACCUAGGAUACAGCCUUUAUUAGAGAGUAAGCAUAAAUAUAAACCAUAGUUGGCCUAAAAGCAGCCAUCAAUUAAGAAAGCGUUCAAGCUCAACAAUCAAAGCAUCUUAAUGUCAAAAAUAAUGCAACCAACUCCUAACCUAAAACUGGGCUAAUCUAUUUAAUAAUAGAAGCAAUAAUGCUAAUAUGAGUAACAAGAAAUACUUCUCCCUGCAUAAGCUUAUAUCAGAACGGAUAACCACUGAUAGUUAACAACAAGAUAUAUAUAACCUAACCAUAAACAAAAUAUCAAAUUAAUUGUUAACCCAACACAGGUAUGCAAAUUAGGGAAAGAUUAAAAGAAGUAAAAGGAACUCGGCAAA